rnacentral:rRNA from 1 species
CCCGCCUGCCCUGUGACCAUGUGUUUAACGGCCGCGGUAUUUUGACCGUGCGAAGGUAGCGCAAUCACUUGUCUUUUAAAUGAAGACCUGUAUGAAUGGCAUAACGAGGGCUAAGCUGUCUCCUUUUUCUAGUCAAUGAAAUUGAUCUGCCCGUGCAGAAGCGGGCAUAAAAACAUAAGACGAGAAGACCCUAUGGAGCUUUAGACACCAGAACAGCCUGUGUCAAAAACCCUUAAUAAAAAGACCAAACCAAACAGCUCCUGUUCCCCUGUCUUUGGUUGGGGCGACCGCGGGGUAACAAACAACCCCCACGUGGAAUGAGGUAAACCCCUCUAAAACCAGGGCCACAGCCCUAGUAAACAGAACAUCUGACCAACAAGAUCCGGCAAAGCCGAUCAACGGACCCAGUUACCCUAGGGAUAACAGCGCAAUCCUCUUUUAGAGCCCAUAUCGACAAGAGGGUUUACGACCUCGAUGUUGGAUCAGGAUAUCCUAAUGGUGCAGCCGCUAUUAAGGGUUCGUUUGUUCAACGAUUAAAAUCC